GGCCAGAUAGCACAAGUGGUAAUGCACCAGAGACAGGUGCUUGUGGACCAAAUCCUUCAUCUGGGGGUCCUCGUUCGAUUCGAGGUCAGGCCA